rfam:Felis catus isolate Cinnamon breed Abyssinian chromosome C2, whole genome shotgun sequence.
GCCUGGUUGGCUCAGUCGAUUGAGCGUCUGGCUUCGGCUCAGGUCAUGAUCUCACGGUUUGUGAGUUCAAGCCCUGCAUCGGGCU